rnacentral:lncRNA from 1 species
GUAAGUACCAUUACUUAAGUGUCUAUAAACCCAAUAUAUCUCAAAAAAGUAGUGCUUGUGCUUAUUGUUAAGUAUGUUCUAGUAACUGUACAGUUAGAUGGUUAAGUGAGACAUUACUUCUCUAGGUAUACAGGUGAUGGUGCUCCCUUUAGUGAGUCAUUUAAAAUUCUGUAGAUAUGUAAAGAAUUAAUGAUUAUCCAGAGUGGAAGGAUCAGGUUACUCAAGGAGAUCACAAGCAGGGUCAGGAAAUACCCCCUUGAAAAUUAUUUAUGCACCAGGCUAGACUCACCACCAGGAAACAGGAGCUGAGAGGAAAGGCCCUAGGUUUCUGCAAGUUCUGAACCAGCAAAUGUUGUCAUUAGAUGUGUUGGCAUCUAUCCUUGGAAGGAUAUAAUAAAUAAGUAGUUCUACAUGUGGGUGCUGGAGAGGCAAGAUGGUGCCUCAGGUAAAACGGCUGACAGCCAGGCUUGGAAGGAAGGACCGUGGUAAGGGCUGUGCCAAACACUUUCAAGAAUGCAAUUAUAUUAGGAACAGGGAAUUUGGGAUGUGAAGGCUCUUCACUGCAUUUCCUAGGAUGUAUCAAAUCAAAACUAUACUUGCUAAGAUGAACUAUGUAGCCUGUAUUUGAUCUGGUUAUUUUUCUAUAAUUUAAGUGUCUGUUCAAAAUGUCAACUUGUUUUAGGUAUUCUAAGGAGAACUAAAGAGAGAGAUUUGUAUUCAGGUUUGGAACAGAGAGAAAGAAAAGAGCUUCCUUGCUGGGAUAGAGCAGAAAUAGGUAAAGGACAGGAAAAGUUCAAAGGGAGAGAAACAAAUUCAUGGUGUGACAGCAGGAGUAGCUAGGUAGUGAAAGAAGAGGAAAUAUAGAACAUAGUUAUGUCCCAGAACAUUAAUCUACCUCCAAAUCAAGGAAUUCAGUAAGAGAUACUAGGUCUCUAGAAUUCUCCAGCAGAGAAAAACCAUGGUUUAUUUUAUUUUUAUUAUUAUUAUUUUUUGGCUCUUUUGCCAGGCUAGAGUGCAGCAAUGCAAUCUCGGCUCACUGUAACCUCUGCCUCCCAGGUUCGAGCAAUUCUCCUGCCUCAGCCUCCCAAGUAGUUGGGACUACAGGCACGUGCCACCACGCCCAGCUAAUUUUUGAAUUUUUAGUAGAGACUGGGUUUCACCAUUUUGACCAGGAUGAUCUCAAUCUCUUGACCUCGUGAUCCACCCACUUUGGCCUCCCAAAGUGCUGGGAUUACAGGCGUGAGCCACCGCACCUGGCCAACCAACCAUGCUUUGAUUGUCUGUCCCAUUGUGAGUCUAAGAUCCAAAGGACUCCGGAAGAGAUGUUGCCAGCCAUGAACAAGAGUUAAUGGAGAUAAUUUGUUUGCUAUCUGCCUCAUCAAGCAAGAUUGUACUAACCUUUCAGAAAUUUUACAAUUCUCUCCCCCUCACUCCUACCCCACUAUGCUCUAAAAGUUCUAAGGGAAUAUGUUUAACUUUCUAAAUUGUAAUGUGAUAGGACUACUGAAACUUGUCAGGAAAAUAAUUCUGUUUUAGACGGAAGACAAAUUGACAGCCACACCCAGUUUAAUCAAGGAUGUUUCUAUCAUUCUUACUGUUUGCUAAAAGAGAAAGGUAAUUGUGGUUGAUCAUUCAAAACUUUUUAUUAAGAAUAAACUGUAGACUCACAUGUUGCUGGAGUUUAGGGAUACAAUAAUACCCACACAAUUCUUACUCUUCAUGAAUAGCAGUGGGACAAAGAAAAUAAUUCUAAUACAUGAAUAUGAGUCCUAUGUUUUUCUAACUUCAAAAAGCUCUAGAAUGUCAGAGUAGAGACAACUUACCAAUACUGGUCAUCAAGGGUGGCCUCUUAGGAAAGCUCACAUGAUUCUACACAUGUAUUAGGGCAUCACGGACUAACACUGAAUUAGCAAGAUUGAAGGAAACAUAGAUGGGUCCCCACUCUAAAUUUUCUUCUGUCUUUAAAGAUCUAAGGAACUCUAGAAAUUAGCAUAACCAUGAGGCAGUAAAUGAUUAUUAGCUGUGAUGUGUGAUAGGGAUAAGUUUAUAGGCGGUCAGAGGAAAGAAAAGAUCUCCAGGGUUAUCAGCAUGACCAAUUUAUAAAUGACUUAAUUUGGACACUCACUCUGCUACUUUGCCAUCUGCUUUAAAAGAAUUUCCCUUCAUUAUGUACAACACCUGAUCAUGGGGUUGUGCCUAUAUUAAUGGAUGCCUUUUCUUUUAGGAAAGCCUCAUGUGCUCCAUCUUAAGUCGAGCUCCAGAGUCAUUCGAUGUUCAUUCUCUUUGCCACUUGGCAAUUCUAAUCUAUCAACAGAUGUCUGGAUAGAGCACUUUUGUGCAUAGAGCCUUUGAAAGAAGUCGGAGCUAAGGAAACUCACCAGCUUCUUUAGAGACAGAAACUCACAAGACACACACCUUGUGGUCCGAUCUUUAUGGCUGUGUGGGAGAACUACAGUGUGAUUUCAGACUUUUUCUUGACAUGUGGAGUCUGUUAAUCCUGAAACUUCAAAAUGUACAUAUUUCCCCCAAAUGAGAUGUAAGUCUGUUGAGUUAAUUAUCAUACAAUUAUAGCAAUGGAAAAGAAAACCCUAAUCAAACGUGAACAGCUUGUCUAACUAUUAACCAGACCAUGGUGAACCAUUACUUAGCUCUGACUUGCAUGAUCCAUCAUAGACUUUUGGCCCUCUGUGAACAAAUGCUUAAAUGAGUUCAUAGUCAUUUAAAACUGAAAGGCCUGGCUGCCUGGGUUCUUGUGAUUUUCUUGAAAUUGUUUAGUCAUUAUAUUUUACUGGCAUGAAGUUAUGGCUAUCUUCCUCUCUUUUCCACAUGAUAGGAAAGAGCACCCAGGUCAUGGACAUGAAAGACAUAGCUUCCCAGGACUUUGAUCUACUAAAGUGGUGAUUUGUUUUAUAACAUUUCUACUUAUAGUCCCUUAAGCUGCUAAAAAACAUUAGAAGUCAAAUCCCUUUGAAUAAGUUUUCUUUCUAGGAAGAGCCAGAGUCCAAAGCAUUGUAUUCAGGGUGUCUUUUAGUGUUAGUCCAAUUUGCACUAUAUUCAGGAUAAUUCAGCUAUUGCCAGUAUUCUAGCAGUCAAAUACAAAAUGACCCAGGUGAAGCAUGGUGAACUUUUGGUUUACAGUUUUAAAUUCAAGAGGUCAGUUUCGAUUGAUACAAGGAUAUGAAAUUAGGGUUUGUUCUGGUUGAAUAGGUUGAGGUUUAGGACAGGGAAGGAAAAAGAGAAAGGAUAAAGCCAAUCAGAUGGUAUGACAUCACAUUCAAGACUAAAUAAUGAGACUGUGAGCUCAUUUUAUCCUCAGGCACACUGGAAAGUAGGCAUACUAUACAGUAACAGCCAACUUUUUGUUCAUUCUAACUCUUACCACACCGAGCUUUCCUUGGUGUCAGCCACAGGGGUCACUAAGCCAUCAGCUGAUCAAGAAAGUCAAUUGUCUCCUACUGCAAAGAAAGCAUGCCAGCUUCUUGAACAGGAUGGAGUUUUCUGUUUUCUUCUCCUCUGUUUUGCCUGCACAAUACUAGUCUCGCUCUGUCGCCCAGGCUGGAGUGCAGUGGUGCGAUCUCGGCUCAUCGCAAGCUCCGCCUCCUGGGUUCACACCAUUCUCCUCUCUCAGUCUCCCGAGUAGCUGGACUACAGGUGCCCGCUCUCAGGCCUCUGAGCCCAAGCCAAGCCAUCGCAUCCCCUGUGACUUGCACGUAUAUGCCCAGAUGGCCUGAAGUAACUGAAGAAUCACAAAAGAAGUGAAUAUGCCCUGCCCCACCUUAACUGAUGACAUUCCACCAUAAAAGAAGUGGACGCGCAUGAAAUUUGGUGCCGCGACUCAGAUCGGGGGACCUCCCUUAGGAGAUCAAUCCCCUGUCCUCCUGUUCUUUGCUCCGUGAGAAAGAUCCACCUAUGACCUCAGGUCCUCAGACCGGACCAGCCCAAGGAACAUCUCACCAAUUUUAAAUCAGGUUCCCACGCCGACCCUAAUGCCGCUUGAAGCAGCCCUGAGAAACAUCGCCCAUUCUCUCUCUCCAUAUCACCCCCCAAAAAUUUUUGCCACCCCAACACUUCAACACUAUUUUGUUUUAUUUUUCUUAUUAAUAUAAGAAGGCAGGAAUGUCAGGCCUCUGAGCCCAAGCCAAGCCAUCGCAUCCCCUGUGACUUGCACGUAUACGCCCAGAUGGCCUGAAGUAACUGAAGAAUCACAAAAGAAGUGAAUAUGCCCUGCCUCACCUUAGCUGAUGACAUUCUACCACAAAAGAAGUGUAAAUGGCCAGUCCUUGCCUUAAGUGAUGACAUUACCUUGUGAAAGUCCUUUCCCUGGCUCAUCCUGGCUCAAAAAGCACCCCCACUGAGCACCUUGCCACCCCCACUCCUGCCCGCCAGAGAACAAACCCUCUUUGACUGUAAUUUUCCUUUACCUUCCCAAAUCCUAUAAAACGGCCCCACCCUUAUCUCCCUUCGCUGACUCUCUUUUCAGACUCAGCCCGCCUGCACCCAGGUGAUUAAAAGCUUUAUUGCUCACACAAAGCCUGUUUGGUGGUCUCUUCACAGGGACGCGCAUGAAACCCGCCACCACGCCCGGCUAAUUUUUUGUAUUUUUAGUAGAGAAGGGGUUUCACCAUGUUAGCCAAGAUGGUCUCAAUCUCCUGACCUUGUGAUCCACCCUCCUCAGCCUCCCAAAGUGCUGGGAUCACAGGCGUGAGCCACCGUGCCCGGCCGUAAGUAGUAAUUUGAAUGAUUUCUACGUCAAAGAUAUGGCUACAGGCCAAGAAAAUACAGUGGUGGGUUAACAGACACAGUCUUGGCCCUAAAAAGGUUUACAGUCUAGUGGGAGAAGUAGCCUCAAAUAAGGGACUAGACAAA